UUGUGCAAGCUCCCCAGUGGAAAUUUAAACAGGGAAGUAUGUGUCAACAGACCAGAAUUAAAAAGGUGACAAACUGUGAAGAAUUAAAACUUCUAAUUUAACAGAUGAGCAACUGCAAAUAACAGAAUCUCAGACAAACACUAUUUUAAUGAAAGGUGACAUGCCAGAGAUAAGAGGGUUUUUUUCCUCUCUCUUCAGCAGAUGCUUCUUCGAAUCUGCCUGUGGAUGUGUUCAGCAGUUUCCUUUCCAGAAUAUUUCUUCUCUAGUCAAUCCUGUAGAUCUUUUCAAGGGCUAACUCAUUUCUGCAGUUGGAUUGCUCUGGCAGACACACUUUGUGGCAUCACAAAGAGGACACCCUGCCGUGUAGCUCUGUCCUACCAUCC
rnacentral:lncRNA from 1 species